rnacentral:sRNA from 1 species
GGGGAAUUUUCCGCAAUGGGCGCAAGCCUGACGGAGCAAUACCGCGUGAGGGAGGAAGGCUCUUGGGUCGUAAACCUCUUUUCUCAGGGAAGAACACAAUGACGGUACCUGAGGAAUCAGCAUCGGCUAACUCCGUGCCAGCAGCCGCGGUAAUACGGAGGAUGCAAGCGUUAUCCGGAAUGAUUGGGCGUAAAGCGUCCGUAGGUGGUUAUGUAAGUCCGUGGUUAAAGCGUGGGGCUCAACCCCAUAAAGGCCAUGGAAACUACAAGACUUGAGUAAAGUAGGGGUAGAGGGAAUUCCCAGUGUAGCGGUGAAAUGCGUAGAGAUUGGGAAGAACACCGGUGGCGAAAGCGCUCUACUGGACUUAAACUGACACUGAGGGACGAAAGCUAGGGGAGCGAAAGGGAUUAGAUACCCCUGUAGUCCUAGCCGUAAACGAUGGAUACUAGGUGUUGCCCGUAUCGACCCGGGCAGUGCCGUAGCUAACGCGUUAAGUAUCCCGCCUGGGGAGUACGCACGCAAGUGUGAAACUCAAAGGAAUUGACGGGGGCCCGCACAAGCGGUGGAGUAUGUGGUUUAAUUCGAUGCAACGCGAAGAACCUUACCAGGGCUUGACAUGUCUAGAAUUCUGGCGAAAGUCGGAAGUGCCUUCGGGAGCUAGAACACAGGUGGUGCAUGGCUGUCGUCAGCUCGUGUCGUGAGAUGUUGGGUUAAGUCCCGCAACGAGCGCAACCCUCGUUUUUAGUUGCCAUCAUUAAGUUGGGCACUCUAGAAAGACUGCCGGUGACAAACCGGAGGAAGGUGGGGAUGACGUCAAGUCAGCAUGCCCCUUACGCCCUGGGCUACACACGUACUACAAUGCUACAGACAAAGGGCAGCCAACUGGCGACAGUGCGCUAAUCCCAUAAACUGUGGCUCAGUUCAGAUUGCAGGCUGCAACUCGCCUGCAUGAAGGCGGAAUCGCUAGUAAUCGCAGGUCAGCAUACUGCGGUGAAUCCGUUCCCGGGCCUUGUACACACCGCCCGUCACACCAUGGGAGUUGGUCACGCCCGAAGUCGUUACUCUAACCGCAAGGAAGAGGACGCCGAAGGUAGGGCUGAUGACUGGGGUGAAGUCGUAACAAGGUAGCCGUACCGGAAGGUGUGGCUGGAUCACCUCCUUUUAGGGAGACCUCACAACAUUUUGACCGAAACACAACGGAUUAAGUCAAAUGUAUGUUAUCCCAAGGUCGAGCGUUUUUAAUCGAGAGGGCUUUCAAACUUAUAUUCUAGUUCAGCUUGCCAUGCGGGCUAUUAGCUCAGUGGUAGAGCACACCCCUGAUAAGGGUGCGGUCUCUGGUUCAAGUCCAGAAUAGCCCACUUAUCUGAUGCAACUGAUUGACACCAAACUAUUGACAGCAAUGUCAGUGAGAAUGUCAAUUCAACUAGGGGGUUUAGCUCAGUUGGUAGAGCGCCUGCUUUGCAAGCAGGAUGUCAGCGGUUCGAGUCCACUAACCUCCAUCGGUGGCACCAACAAAAGUUAGACAACUCAACUAGAAUUACACCGCCAACAGGCACGAUGAUUUCAGCACCUGCUUUUAGAGUAGUCUGCUGGACUUAAAGUCCAGUUCGCACCUUGACAACUGCAUAAUAAUCAACAGUCAGGUAGUCGUAAUGUAAAUUACAGACAAUCCAAAACAAAUCAAAGAAACUUGUGACGUUUGUUGAAGAGUGAACUAAUUUAUUAGUGAAAUCUUGGGCAAACAAACAAAGUGGUCAAGCUACAAAGGGCUUACGGCGGAUACCUAGGCACACAGAGGCGAAG